UUUGCAUCUAAGUUGAUUUUUCUCCGUUUUAAGGUGUGUUAUGGCCUUUAGAAAUACUGUUUUUCAAGUUUAAUACCCCCAGUAGAAGUUUACUACCUCUAGUAAACUUUAGUAAAAAUUUUACUAACCCCAGUAAACUUUAUUUUUUUGCAUCUAAGUUGAUUUUUCUCCGUUUUAAGGUGUGUUAUGGCCUUUAGAAAUACUGUUUUUCAAGUUUAAUACCCCCAGUAGAAGUUUACUACAUCUAGUAAACUUUAGUAAAAAUUUUACUAACCCCAGUAAACUUUAUUUUUUUGCAUCUAAGUUGAUUUUUCUCCGUUUUAAGGUGUGUUAUGGCCUUUAGAAAUACUGUUUUUCAAGUUUAAUACCCCCAGUAGAAGUUUACUACCUCUAGUAAACUUUAGUAAAAUUUUUACUAACCCCAGUAAACUUUAUUUUUUUGCAUCUAAGUUGAUUUUUCUCCGUUUU